UACACUCCUACGGGAGGCAGCAGUGGGGAAUUUUGGACAAUGGGCGAAAGCCUGAUCCAGCAAUGCCGCGUGAGUGAAGAAGGCCUUCGGGUUGUAAAGCUCUUUUGUCAGGGAAGAAACGGUGAAAGCUAAUAUCUUUUGCUAAUGACGGUACCUGAAGAAUAAGCACCGGCUAACUACGUGCCAGCAGCCGCGGUAAUACGUAGGGUGCAAGCGUUAAUCGGAAUUACUGGGCGUAAAGCGUGCGCAGGCGGUUUUGUAAGUCUGAUGUGAAAUCCCCGGGCUCAACCUGGGAAUUGCAUUGGAGACUGCAAGGCUAGAAUCUGGCAGAGGGGGGUAGAAUUCCACGUGUAGCAGUGAAAUGCGUAGAUAUGUGGAGGAACACCGAUGGCGAAGGCAGCCCCCUGGGUCAAGAUUGACGCUCAUGCACGAAAGCGUGGGCAGCAAACAGGAUUAGAAACCCCAGUAGUCCCAU
rnacentral:rRNA from 1 species